CAUACUAGUUUAGUUGGAAAAGGUUUCAGAAUAAAGACAUCAUAUAGGAGAAACCUCUGUUCAUGCAAAAGGUACACAUGCCGAAAAUUCAUUCUUUGAAGAAUUUUCAGACACAAAGAUAAGUAGCAACAGUAACGUGAGCUAUGGUAGCAAGCAGCAAUAUUGCGUUUUCUUGAAAACAAAAAAAUUAGCAGCAACGUUUUCCUUAUUCCAAAUGGGAAACGUAUGAUCCCUCUCACGAAGAAAUAUAAUGAGUUUUGCGCUCCGCUUCAAUCUCGUGGUUUUAUUUUGUCGUGUUAUUGAAUCUGGGCUUUCUUCGAAGGGAAGUAAAGUGGAAAAAGAUCAUUUCUUGGCAUAUAAGGUUUAUCAUAUUAAUUGUGGAAGUUCUUGGCUGGACUGAGCUCUUGAACGACGUAAGGUAUGUAAAGUUAACCCUUCUUUCUUUUUGGCAUGAUCUUUAUGAAAUGAACAUACGAUGUGAAUAUGAUUCCAAAGAAGUUCCUAUUCUUACUAGGAUGGCUAAUGUUCUUGAUUUCCAGAAGCUAUUUCGUUAUGUCUCGAUACGUGUAUAUGAUUCCGGAAGUUCUAUUUUGAUAUAACCCACAGUGACAGUCGAAAGGUAUUUGAUAUGACUAUUGUCUUGGUUUUCAAAUGAUGAUUCAUUUUGAUUAUUCUAUUGAGUCUCAGAUAUGAUUUAAUUUGCAUAUGGUUUCUCACUACUCUGCUCGUGCAUGCCUCAAUACAUCUUUCACUGAGUCCCGGGUCAGGACAUGUUUACGUGCACAGAUUCACUGCAUUAUUCACCGAGUCCCUCACUAGAGGGCCGGGACACGUUAUAUAUAUGUAUAUGAUGAUAUGAUGAUAUGGGGAUGGCGGCCAGGAUGACACAUGAUGAUCUUAUUCACCGAGUCCCUCACUAGAGGGCCGGGACACGUUAUAUAUAUAUAUACAUGAUGAUGAUAUGAUUUUAUUUACCGAGUCCCUCACUAGAGGGUCGGGACACGUUAUACAUAUGCAUAUGAACAGGAUGAUUCUCUAAUGGUGACAUUAAGUUUCAUAACGAGUUAAGUCUGAUAUUGACACCAUGAUUUAUGAUUCAAAGGUAAGCCUUGUGGUUUUCUGGUUAUUGUACUGGUUUUCUAUACUCCUCACUUCAGUAUGAUCCUGUUUAUUGUAUUUAUGCUUUACAUGCUCAGUACAUAUUCCGUACUAACCCCCUUUCUUCGGGGGGCUGCGUUCAUGCCCGCAGGUACAAAUGCUCACGUUAGGUAACCCGCCAGCUUAGGAGUCCUAUUCAGCUAUCUUGGAGAGCUCCCUUGUUCCGGAUCCUAGAUUUUGGUACAGAAUCUCUUGUGAUGUAUAUGUAUUUUAUCCAGGGGUACGGCGGGGCCCUGUCCCGUCAUAUGAUACUGUUGUUACUCUUAGAGGUCUGUAGACAUAUGUGUGGGUUGUGUAUAAGUUCUGUUCAGCUGUGUCUAUACGAUGUGCUAUGAUAUGAUGUCUGUCUGUAGUGGCAGCCUUGUCGGCUUGCAUAUGACACGAUAUUGAUGUGUAGUGGCAGCCUUGUCGGCUUGCGUAUCAUUUUAUGAUUUGAUCAGUUGUGACUCCUCAGGAGACAAUUUAUCUGAAUAUACAUAUAUGAUGACGUUA